GCAGAGGUGGUUGAGCUUGGCCAAAGGCGCCGGACUUGAAAUCCGGUUCUCCACUGGGGAGCGGGGGUUCAAAUCCCUCCCUCUGCG
rnacentral:tRNA from 9 species